CCUACGGGUGGCUGCAGUAGGGAAUAUUGGGCAAUGGACGCAAGUCUGACCCAGCCACGCCGCGUGAAGGAUGACUGCCCUAUGGGUUGUAAACUUCUUUUGUAUGGGAAGAAACCUCCGAACGUGUUCGGAGCUGACGGUACCAUAAGAAUAAGCAUCGGCUAACUCCGUGCCAGCAGCCGCGGUAAUACGGAGGAUGACGGCGUCAUCCGGAUUCAUGGGGUUUAAAGGGUAGAAUGACGUCAGUGGAGAAAGCUCUCAGCUUAACUGUGAAAAUGCCAUUGAAACUGAUUUUCUUGAGUUCGAUUGAGGUAGAUGGAAUGUAUCAUGUAGCGGUGUAAUGCUUAGAUAUGAUACAGAACACCAAUUGCGAAGGCAGUCUACUAAGUCGAUACUGACGCUGAGGCACGAAAGCAUGGGGAGCAAACAGGAUUAGAUACCCUUGUAGUC
rnacentral:rRNA from 1 species